GUGAAUCAUCAAAUCUUUGAACGCAAAUUGCACUCACUGGUAUUCUGGGGAGGAUGUCUGUGUGAGGGACGUUAGCACAAAAAUCGAGGCGUCGAUCUUUUUUUUUAAGGGUGAACGUGUCGGAAUUGAGAUGUCUCUUAAAUGUUAAUUCAUGUAAAAGAGGCUUGAAAUUCAUCGAUACGGUAUGAUUAAAGCGUAUUUAAGAUCAACUUUGAUUAAGAACGCGCAAUGAACGUACAAUCUCAUGUAGUAAGGUUGACUUGACGCCGUGAGG
rnacentral:misc_RNA from 1 species